rnacentral:rRNA from 1 species
GACGAACGCUGGCGGCGUGCCUAAUACAUGCAAGUAGAACGCUGAAGAGAGGAGCUUGCUCUUCUUGGAUGAGUUGCGAACGGGUGAGUAACGCGUAGGUAACCUGCCUUGUAGCGGGGGAUAACUAUUGGAAACGAUAGCUAAUACCGCAUAACAAUGGAUGACACAUGUCAUUUAUUUGAAAGGGGCAAUUGCUCCACUACAAGAUGGACCUGCGUUGUAUUAGCUAGUAGGUGAGGUAAUGGCUCACCUAGGCGACGAUACAUAGCCGACCUGAGAGGGUGAUCGGCCACACUGGGACUGAGACACGGCCCAGACUCCUACGGGAGGCAGCAGUAGGGAAUCUUCGGCAAUGGGGGCAACCCUGACCGAGCAACGCCGCGUGAGUGGAGAAGGUUUUCGGAUCGUAAAGCUCUGUUGUAAGUCAAGAACGGGUGUGAGAGUGGAAAGUUCACACUGUGACGGUAGCUGACCAGAAAGGGACGGCUAACUACGUG